CCCCGAGGUCCGACAUUCCUUGUAAACCAAGCUGAUGCUUCUGUCUCCCCUCAGGAACAAGGUUCAUCCAAGAGUUGUGGCGAAAGUGAAGAGAGACAAAAAGAGAUACUGGAUGUUAACUUGAAGUGGAGCAAGAACUUUUCCAUGAGCCAUCAGGAAAAAUCAAAAACUAAGGUGACCUUUGCAGAUGAAGAAAACUUGUGCACGGUAUAUGAUUUGGAGGAGGAGGAUAGGAAAGGACACUGGGAGGAAUUUGCUCGUGAUCGGGAACGAUUUCAACGAAGGAUAGCAGAAGUGGAGGAGGUACUGAAGCCUGUGCUAUCCACAGAGACGAGAGACAAAAUUUCUCAAAACAUGUUAGAACAGAGUUGAAGAGAGCUCACAGAUAUAUAUGGUCAUGUGACAUAUAUAUGAUCACAGCCAAAGAAAAUAUUGGUCACGUUUAGGAGUAGUAUUUCCACCGCUCUCAGUUGAUUUCUUUCAAAGUAUUUUAGUCGAUAUAUCUCAGGCAACAAGAGGUAACCAAGACCUUACCAAACAAAAAGUUAAGGAGCUAGGCCAAGAAGAUGAUUGCUCAAAUAAUGUCUGGUCAUCGUCAAUGGUCUGAUAAAAAACGACUUGUCAAUUAAUCGGUAAUUCUAAACUUAAAGCAAUAGAACAUUGUUACCAACCAGGUUCCGUUCUCAGGAUUUAACCUAGUUCACACAUGGUGGGUAAUGUCGACGAAGCGGGAGACGCUCAACCUUCCUGAACACUUUGUCUUAUUUCUCCUUGUACAUAUAUCUAUCUGUUGUUCGUCAAUGUAUCCUUCGUUUUAUCGAUUUUGAGUUAGAAUUACGAUCUCGUUAACAUGCCAGUAGGGUUUUAGACAGUAAGAGGUCCAAUAGGCCUGAAGAGCUCACGUUGAGCAGUUUUCGGGUAAAGAUGAUAUUUUUGUGUAUACUUAAUUGUAUUUAGGCGACUUUGAAAAAAAUAUCAAUUUCAUUAUGCUUAAGGAAUUCUGUAUAUUAUUUUGUAUGCGUAAUCCAUAACAUCUAAAGGAGUUGGUCAUUCAUUUGAACAGACUUGGUUACCAUUCACCACAGCAUGCUACAUACUCUUUGUCUCUUGGUUAUUGAGAACAGAAAAGUUGAUGCAGACGGAUGUCGCACCACCAUAUAAGCUCACUUGCCCUUCGGGUAAACUCGUCAACCAAACUGUAAACACGAGGCCACUAUAACAUGACCCUGUAUGCUGCCCUUGUGGCAUAUAGAGUACCAAAUAACCAUCAUUAGUAAUGUACAUUUGAAUAAACUUGGUAGUUCUUUAUAUACACUGUGCAAAUCUAGAGGCUGUUUCAAGUUUUGAUAAUAAUUGAUCCAUGUGACCUUGAAAGAAGGUGAAGGUCAUUCUGUAUCUUUAUAUUAACACUUUCCCUGUGAACGCAUAAUGCAUUGGGGAAGAGCUCGAGGUGCAGGACACUUAGCAUUGCUGGAGUCCAGAAAUGACAGAGGCCUUGAAGAUCUCAGUAGUUGUGGUAUUGACAGUCUUCUUGUCAAGCAGGUUCCUGGGGAGAAACAGUCCUUAUAUUCUUCCCUUUUCGCAUAUUGAACAUUUAAUCUCCUAUUGUAGGUGCAUGAAUGCUUUUCGAAGGUACCAUUAUAGAACCCGCUGAAAUAUCUCCCAAUGGUAAUGUGCCCUCAAUCAUUUUGAAGGAAAGGGCAUGACAAAGCAUUUGCCUGCCCUCUGAUAGUGGAGUCAGGCCCAGGUCCCUCAGCAUAUUUGUUAAGCAGCCCACUCCCCUAGUCUUGUAAUCACCAGUUAUGAAGCAUGCAGCCUUACACUGGACCCUUCCCAGGCUAGCUAUGUUGUAUUGGCAGUAUGGAUCCCAUUCAAUUCACCCAUAACCCAAGAUCGACCCAACAAGGCAGAGGUAGGCUGACCUUUGGCAAUUAUGUGUGCAGUGUAGUUCAUUUUGUAGCCUUGUGAUCCCAUUAGGAUACUGACAAAAUAUGACAUCCGAGGCUAAUUGGUUAUUGAGAAGAUGUCAUUUGAAGGGACACUGCACCAUGCUCUCUUGCCCUUGAGAUAGUAGAGCUGACAAUACCAACAUAAUUAUUUAUUUCUCAAUGGACAUCUUUCGACAUUACUAAUAAAAACACAUUAGUAGUUCAGUUAUUUUUAUUUUUCUAAUUAAAAAUAUCAUCAUUGAUUGAAUACCAGUACACAAAAAUCACGGGAAUAUUUUGCUUAUAAAUAAACAGUUUUCAUGAAUUAAAUCUAAAAUUACAGGUUAAAAUCAAUAACAUGAAAUUAAUAACAUAUACCAUAUUCAUCUUACAAUAACUUAGGCAAAGUAGGCGAGUGUAAUACUUAAGGAAAACAAAUCUGCACUUGACAAGGAUGGCUUUAUUACAAGGCAUUACAAUAUUGUAGGAUAAAUAAGGUAAUGUAUUCAUGGCUUCAUGAUGUGAAAUCAAACAAAGGUAAUGUAUUCACAGUGUCAUGAUGUGAAAUGAAAUCAAACAAAACAUAUUAGUUCCUACACAAGGAUGGGAUUACUGCAGAGUUCAUCAAUUAUUAUGGCAGAAUCUAGUGUCAACAUUACUGUAAUUAUUAAACAUUUCUGUUGGUAAUUAUAAAAUAUCCAAAACUAAUAACAGGUAACUCCUCAAUUGUAUUGGUAUACAUAAAUUGAAAUGUAUUCCACAACAUAAAACAACUUUUUAUGAUAAAUAUUUGGAUAACCUGAAUUCCCAUUCUGCUGUUUUUGAAUCCAUACAUAACCUCAAAUAUCGUGUUCAAAGCUACUUCCACCAUUGCAAAUUAAAUGUCCUCAUUAUGAGACAAGACUCCAUCAGACAACUUACAAGGAAUGAUGAUAAUCUCUUGGUGAUUAUAUGUCAGAUACAAAGUAUUCACAACAUAGCCGUGUAAACGAGUGUUUUUCAUGCUGUAGGAUUACAUGAAUUUUGUCUUAAUGUUUUUGUUUCUUAUAUCUAAUUAUCACACUUAUUCUCACUAGACAGCAUGACUACCCAAUAUUUUCUCUGGUGCUCAUUAUAUUCUUAUGUCUUAAAAUACUACCCAUUUGCUUCCAUAUCUAGCAUGACUUUGCUUCAUCAGACAUCUAUAUACCUGAACCUGACAUUUCAACUAAAAGUCCAUGGUCACAUUCCUCUGGUAAUUAAUUUUACUGGGAUCAACAAACCAUUUUACUCUUGCCAUUACCAAAAUCAGACAACAGCAUGGUUUAAUGCUUACCACCAUUUAAAACACUGACAUGCCUUUUUACCUUGAUAGCCAGAGUUCAAUUCACCAAUCAGAUGUGACGAGUUAUGGGGUCACCUACUUGACCACUUGGGUUUUCUCCUGGGAUUUUCAACUCUUCCCACAUUAUGACCCCCUCCCCUCCCCCCUCUAUCUAGGCCACAAAAGUGAUCAAGUAACAAAUGUUUAGCAAUUGCUGUAAAAUAAAUAGAGUUUAUUUGUUUAUUUUACGCAAGUAUCACCACUAAACUAGUACUUGUAUCUACCCACUAGGUUUGUGAGACAGGAACUAACAAAAUAAGUGAUUUCAUUCAAACACUAUCAUACAAUAAAUAAAUUCUUCUUUAUCCACCAUGCAUAGAUAUUCUUCAUUUCUUGAGUCCUCCUAUAUUUACCGUAGAUAGAUUAGCCCCGACA